CGGGACGGGUGAGUAAUGUCUGGGAAACUGCCUGAUGGAGGGGGGUAACUAUUGGAAACGGUAGCUAAUACCGCAUAACGUCGCAAGACCAAAGAGGGGGACCUUCGGGCCUCUUGCCAUCGGAUGUGCCCAGAUGGGAUUAGCUAGUAGGUGGGGUAACGGCUCACCUAGGCGACGAUCCCUAGCUGGUCUGAGAGGAUGCCAGCCACACUGGAACUGAGACACGGUCCAG
rnacentral:rRNA from 1 species